rnacentral:rRNA from 1 species
GUGGGGAAUCUUGCGCAAUGGGCGAAAGCCUGACGCAGCCAUGCCGCGUGAAUGAUGAAGGUCUUAGGAUUGUAAAAUUCUUUCACCGGGGACGAUAAUGACGUUACCCGGAGAAGAAGCUCCGGCUAACUUCGUGCCAGCAGCCGCGGUAAUACGAAGGGGGCUAGCGUUGCUCGGAAUUACUGGGCGUAAAGGGCGCGUAGGCGGACAGCUUAGUCAGAGGUGAAAGCCCAGGGCUCAACCUUGGAAUUGCCUUUGAUACUGGCUGUCUUGAGUUUGGGAGAAGUGAGUGGAACUCCGAGUGUAGAGGUGAAAAUCGUAGAUAUUCGGAAGAACACCAGUGGCGAAGGCGACUCACUGGCCCAAUACUGACGCUGAGGCGCGAAAGCGUGGGGAGCAAACAGGAUUAGAAACCCGGGUAGUCC